AGAUCACCUAGCUCGUCAUGCUAGAGCACAUUUUCAAUGUGCUCCCAAAUGACAAGGCGAUGAUGCAUUCGUAUGUCAAUCCAUAUCAACUUUCGAUGCCAUUUACUGUGCUUACCAUGAUGACCACGGGGAAUCAGGGUUCGAUUCCGUACAGGGACCCUGACAAACGGCUACCACGUGCAAGGAAGGCAGCAGGCGCGCAAAUGACCCACUCCCGAUGUGGGGAGGUAGUGACGACAAAUAACAAUACAGGAUUCUUUAGAGGCCACUUGAAAUCCUUUAACUCUGAUCAAUUGGAGGGCAAGUCUGGUGCAGAGCGACUGACCCAUGCGUGCUCCAG